UACGUAGGGUGCGAGCGUUGUCCGGAAUUAUUGGGCGUAAAGAGCUCGUAGGCGGCCUGUUGCGUCCGCUGUGAAAGCCCGGGGCUUAACCCCGGGUCGGCAGUGGAUACGGGCAGGCUAGAGGUAGGUAGGGGAGAAUGGAAUUCCCGGUGUAGCGGUGAAAUGCGCAGAUAUCAGGAGGAACACCGGUGGCGAAGGCGGGUCUCUGGGCCGAUACUGACGCUGAGGAGCGAAAGCGUGGGGAGCGAACAGG
rnacentral:rRNA from 1 species